GACGAACGCUGGCGGCGUGCUUAACGCAUGCAAGUCGAACGGAAAGGCCCUGCUUUUGCGGGGUGCUCGAGUGGCGAACGGGUGAGUAACACGUGAGUAACCUGCCCUUGACUUUGGGAUAACUUCAGGAAACUGGGGCUAAUACCGGAUAGGAGCUCCUGCUGCAUGGUGGGGGUUGGAAAGUUUCGGCGGUUGGGGAUGGACUCGCGGCUUAUCAGCUUGUUGGUGGGGUAGUGGCUUACCAAGGCUUUGACGGGUAGCCGGCCUGAGAGGGUGACCGGCCACAUUGGGACUGAGAUACGGCCCAGACUCCUACGGGAGGCAGCAGUGGGGAAUAUUGCACAAUGGGCGGAAGCCUGAUGCAGCAACGCCGCGUGCGGGAUGACGGCCUUCGGGUUGUAAACCGCUUUCGCCUGUGACGAAGCGUGAGUGACGGUAAUGGGUAAAGAAGCACCGGCUAACUACGUG
rnacentral:rRNA from 1 species